UACGAAGGGGGCUAGCGUUGCUCGGAAUUACUGGGCGUAAAGCGCACGUAGGCGGGUUGUUAAGUCGGGGGUGAAAUCCUGGAGCUCAACUCCAGAACUGCCUUCGAUACUGGCGACCUUGAGUCCGAGAGAGGUGAGUGGAAUUCCGAGUGUAGAGGUGAAAUUCGUAGAUAUUCGGAGGAACACCAGUGGCGAAGGCGGCUCACUGGCUCGGUACUGACGCUGAGGUGCGAAAGCGUGGGGAGCAAACAGG
rnacentral:rRNA from 1 species